UACGUAGGGUGCAAGCGUUGUCCGGAAUUAUUGGGCGUAAAGAGCUCGUAGGCGGUCUGUCGCGUCGAAUGUGAAAACCCGGGGCUCAACCCCGGGCCUGCAUUCGAUACGGGCAGACUAGAGUUCGGUAGGGGAGUCUGGAAUUCCUGGUGUAGCGGUGAAAUGCGUAGAGAUCGGGAAGAACAUCGGUGGCGAAGGCGGUCUGCUGGGCCGUUGCUGACGCUGAGGCGCGACAGCGUGGGGAGCAAACAGG
rnacentral:rRNA from 1 species